rnacentral:rRNA from 1 species
GUGAGGAAUAUUGCGCAAUGGAGGCAACUCUGACGCAGCCAUGCCGCGUGCAGGAAGAAGGCGCUACGCGUUGUAAACUGCUUUUAACCGGGAAGAAACCCCAGGACGUGUCCUGGGUUGACGGUACCGGAGGAAUAAGCACCGGCUAACUUCGUGCCAGCAGCCGCGGUAAUACGAAGGGUGCAAGCGUUAUCCGGAUUCAUUGGGUUUAAAGGGUGCGUAGGCGGAGCGUUAAGUCAGUGGUGAAAUCCUGCAGCUUAACUGUAGACUUGCCAUUGAUACUGGCGCUCUUGAGUGCGCUUGAAGUGGGCGGAAUGUGCCGUGUAGUGGUGAAAUGCUUAGAUAUGGCACAGAACACCAAUUGCGAAGGCAGCUCACUAAGGCGAUACUGACGCUGAGGCACGAAAGCGUGGGGAUCGAACAGGAUUAGAUACCCGGGUAGUCC